rnacentral:rRNA from 1 species
UACGAAGGGGGCUAGCGUUGUUCGGAUUUACUGGGCGUAAAGCGCGUGUAGGCGGACUGUUAAGUUGGGGGUGAAAUCCCGAGGCUCAACCUCGGAACUGCCCUCAAAACUGGCGGUCUGGAGUAAAGGAGAGGCGAGUGGAAUUCCGAGUGUAGAGGUGAAAUUCGUAGAUAUUCGGAGGAACACCAGUGGCGAAGGCGGCUCGCUGGCCUUUUACUGACGCUGAGACGCGAAAGCGUGGGGAGCAAACAGG